GCCCCUUUGGCUAAGAGGCACAGCGUCUGUCUUGUAAGCGAUGCUUUAGCAUCUGUCUUGUAAACAGAAGAUCAUCGGUUCGAUUCCGAUAAUGGGCA
rnacentral:tRNA from 1 species